UACGUAGGGUGCAAGCGUUGUCCGGAAUUAUUGGGCGUAAAGAGCUCGUAGGCGGUUUGUCGCGUCUGCUGUGAAAAACCCGCAGCUCAACUGUGGGCUUGCAGCUGAUACGGGCAGGCUUGAGUUCGGUAGGGGAGACUGGAAUUCCUGGUGUAGCGGUGAAAUGCGCAGAUAUCAGGAGGAACACCGGUGGCGAAGGCGGGUCUCUGGGCCGAUACUGACGCUGAGGAGCGAAAGCGUGGGGAGCGAACAGG
rnacentral:rRNA from 1 species